UACGUAGGUGGCGAGCGUUGUCCGGAUUUACUGGGCGUAAAGGGCGUGCAGGCGGUUUGUUAAGUGCAGGGUGAAAGCUCCCGGCUCAACUGGGAGAGGUCCUUGCAUACUGGCGAACUCGAGGGAGGCAGAGGAAAGUGGAAUUCCCGGUGUAGUGGUGAUAUGCGUAGAUAUCGGGAGGAACACCUGUGGCGAAGGCGGCUUUCUGGGCCUUACCUGACGCUGAGGAGCGAAAGUGUGGGGAGCGAACAGG
rnacentral:rRNA from 1 species